GACGGGGGGCAAGUGUUAUUCGGAAUGACUGGGCGUAAAGGGCACGUAGGCAGUGAAUCAGGUUGAAAGUCAAAGACGCCAGCUCAACUGGCGGAAUGCUUUCAAAACCAAUUCACUCGAGUGAGAUAGAGGGGAGUGGAAUUUCGUGUGUAGGGACAAAAUCCGGAGAUAUACGAAGGAACGCCGAAGUAGCGAAGGCAGCUUUCUGGGUCUCUACUGACGCUAGGGUGCGAAAGCUUGGGGAGCAAACAGG
rnacentral:rRNA from 1 species